GGAGAGGUGCCGGAGUGGCCGAACGGACCCGACUGGAAAUCGGGUGUACGGUUACCGCCGUACCGUGGGUUCGAAUCCCACCCUCUCCG
rnacentral:tRNA from 1 species